AUAUUGCGCAAUGGGGGGAACCCUGACGCAGCAACGCCGCGUGAAGGAAGAAGGUCUUCGGAUUGUAAACUUCUUUGAUGAGGGACGAAUAAAGUGACGGUACCUCAAAAACAAGCCACGGCUAACUACGUGCCAGCAGCCGCGGUAAUACGUAGGUGGCGAGCGUUGUCCGGAAUUACUGGGUGUAAAGGGCGUGUAGGCGGGGAUGCAAGUCAGAUGUGAAAUACCGAGGCUUAACCUCGGGGCUGCAUCUGAAACUGUGUUUCUUGAGUGUCGGAGAGGAAAGCGGAAUUCCCAGUGUAGCGGUGAAAUGCGUAGAGAUUGGGAGGAACACCAGUGGCGAAGGCGGCUUUCUGGACGACAACUGACGCUGAGGCGCGAAAGCGUGGGGAGCAAACAGG
rnacentral:rRNA from 1 species